UAUAUAGAGUCCGGCUACUAUACUAUUAUGAGUACGAUCGCCCUUGUACUCAUAAGUUGUUUUUGAUGAUAGAGCUUCCGAAUCGACGAUCCACACCGUUAAACGUUAUCUAGAGCAUUUGAAACAUCUAGAAAUCAAAUUUCAUAAUUUUUUGACAUAAUUUACCUUACGAUCAAAAGCUCACAAAAUUGACAAUUUUUAACGGCCGAUAUGGAGUACUUGCUAGUUUAACGGUGCCAAAGAAUCCGAAUAGGUUGAAUUUUUUAUAGAAAAUUCUAUUCACUACCUAGAUAAAGAUUAAUAACUCCGAUCUUAAAUUGAAGGAUCCGAUCAUCCAUUUUUAAGACAUCGUUCGAUUUUGACCGUUCAUUUUAUGCCCACUUGAUGGACUUUAUUAUGAUUUCAAAAAAUUACGAAAUUUAUUUUCUAGAAGUUUCAAAUACUCUAGAUCAUAUUUAACGGAGUGGAUCGUCGAUUCGGAAGCUCCAUUAUCGAAAAUAACUUAUGAGUAUGAAGGGUCCAAUACUCAUAAUAGUAUAGUAGCCCUACUCUAUAUAUAUAUAUAUAGAGUCCGGCUAUUGUACUAUUAUGAGUACGAUCGCCCUUGUACUCAUAAGUUGUUUUCGAUGAUAGAGCUUCCGAAUUGACAAUCCUCACCGUUAAACGUUAUUUAGAACAUUUGAAACAUUUAGAAAUCAAAUUUCAUAAUUUUUCGACAUCAUUUACCUUACGAUCAAAAGGUCACAAAAUUGACAAUUUUUAACGAC
rnacentral:lncRNA from 1 species